AAACCAACAGGGAUUGCCUCAGUAACGGCGAGUGAAGCGGCAAAAGCUCAAAUUUGAAAUCCGCCAGGAGUUGUAGUUUGAAGGCGGGGUGGAGCGGCCGCGCGUGGCCAAGUCCCUUGGAACAGGGCGCCUUAGAGGGUGAGAGCCCCGUGGGCCUGCAGCGCGAGCCUCUAUUCCGGCCCGCCGACGAGUCGAGUUGUUUGGGAAUGCAGCUCAAAGUGGGUGGUAAAUUCCAUCUAAAGCUAAAUACCGGCGAGAGACCGAUAGCGAACAAGUACAGUGAUGGAAAGAUGAAAAGCACUUUGAAAAGAGAGUGAAACAGUACGUGAAAUUGUUGAAAGGGAAGGGCUUGCAAGCAGACACGGCCUUCACUGGCCGGGCCAGCAUCGGUUGGCAGGGGUGGACAAGGCGGCGGGAAUGUGGCUUGCGUCUCUGGCGCAAGUGUUUAUAGCCCGCUGAGAUACACCCACUGGCGACCGAGGCCUGCGAUUCUAUCUAGGAUGCUGGCGUAAUGGUUGCAAGCCGC
rnacentral:rRNA from 2 species